rnacentral:rRNA from 1 species
CACGUAGGGCGCAAGCGUUGUCCGGAAUUAUUGGGCGUAAAGAGCUCGUAGGCGGUCUGUUGCGUCUGCUGUGAAAACUCGGGGCUUAACCCCGAGCCUGCAGUGGAUACGGGCAGACUAGAGGUAGGUAGGGGAGAAUGGAAUUCCCGGUGUAGCGGUGAAAUGCGCAGAUAUCAGGAGGAACACCGGUGGCGAAGGCGGAUCUCUGGGCCUUACCUGACGCUCAGGUGCGAAAAGCUAGGGGAGCGAACAGG